rnacentral:rRNA from 1 species
UACGUAGGGUGCAAGCGUUAAUCGGAGUUACUGGGCGUAAAGCGUGCGCAGGCGGUGAUGUAAGACAGGUGUGAAAUCCCCGGGCUUAACCUGGGAACUGCAUUUGUGACUGCAUCGCUGGAGUGCGGCAGAGGGGGAUGGAAUUCCGCGUGUAGCAGUGAAAUGCGUAGAUAUGCGGAGGAACACCGAUGGCGAAGGCAAUCCCCUGGGCCUGCACUGACGCUCAUGCACGAAAGCGUGGGGAGCAAACAGG